AUUAAAUCUCUGCUGUUCUCAGCUAAAAUCAAGUGUAUUGUCUAAUGUUUUCAAUUUAAUGUCUGAUGUGUUUUAUUUGAGCAGUGUACAUCAAAUUGAUUUUUGAAGUAGGGUGAUGGAAUAGGAGCUUGCUUUGUCCACCCCAUGUAUCAACAUGCUGUGGUAGUAUUUCUAGGAAUGGUACCUUUCAU
ensembl:snRNA U2 U2 spliceosomal RNA